rnacentral:rRNA from 1 species
ACUCCUACGGGAGGCAGCAGUGAGGAAUAUUGGUCAAUGGACGAAAGUCUGAACCAGCCAUGCCGCGUGCAGGAUGACUGCCCUCUGGGUUGUAAACUGCUUUUAUACGAGGGUAAUUUGAGUUACGUGUAACUUAUUGAAAGUAUCGUAUGAAUAAGGAUCGGCUAACUCCGUGCCAGCAGCCGCGGUAAUACGGAGGAUUCGAGCGUUAUCCGGAUUUAUUGGGUUUAAAGGGUGCGUAGGCGGUUUAGUAAGUUAGUGGUGAAAAGCAGUUGCUUAACAAUUGUCGUGCCAUUAAUACUGUUAGACUAGAAUUUAGUUGAAGUGGGCGGAAUAUGUAGUGUAGCGGUGAAAUGCUUAGAUAUUACAUAGAACGCCAAUUGCGAAGGCAGCUCACUAAGCUAUAAUUGACGCUGAUGCACGAAAGCGUGGGGAUCAAACAGGAUUAGAUACCCUGGUAGUCCACGCCGUAACGAUGAUAACUCGCUAUUGGCGAUACACAGUCAGUGGCUUAGCGAAAGCGUUAAGUUAUCCACCUGGGGAGUACGACCGCAAGGUUGAAACUCAAAGGAAUUGACGGGGGCCCGCACAAGCGGAGGAACAUGUGGUUUAAUUCGAUGAUACGCGAGGAACCUUACCUAGACUUGAACGUAUUUGGACAGACCCAGAGAUGGGUUCUUCUUUCGGGACCAUUUACGAGGUGCUGCAUGGUUGUCGUCAGCUCGUGCCGUGAGGUGUCGGG